GAGUUUGAUCCUGGCUCAGAACGAACGCUGGCGGCGUGCCUAACACAUGCAAGUCGAACGUGAUCCAGAGCUUGCUCUGGUGAAAGUGGCGCACGGGUGAGUAACGCGUGGAUAACCUACCCUGGUAUCCGGGAUAACAUUCCGAAAGGGGUGCUAAUACCGGAUAAGCCCACGGGCUCUUUGGAGCUUGCGGGAAAAGGUGGCCUCUAUUUAUAAGCUACUGUAUCAGGAUGGGUCCGCGUACCAUUAGCUAGUUGGCGGUGUAACGGACCACCAAGGCGACGAUGGUUAGCUGGUCUGAGAGGAUGAUCAGCCACACUGGAACUGAGACACGGUCCAGACUCCUACGGGAGGCAGCAGUGGGGAAUUUUGCGCAAUGGGGGAAACCCUGACGCAGCAACGCCGCGUGAGUGAUGAAGGCCUUUGGGUCGUAAAGCUCUGUCAGAGGGGAAGAAAUGAUAUAGUGCUAAUACCACUUUAUCUUGACGGUACCCUCAAAGGAAGCACCGGCUGACUCCGUGCCAGCAGCCGCGGUAAUAC
rnacentral:rRNA from 1 species